GAUGAACGCUGGCGGCGUGCUUAACACAUGCAAGUCGAACGGAAAGGCCAGUGCUUGCACUGGUACUCGAGUGGCGAACGGGUGAGUAACACGUGGGUGAUCUGCCCUGCACUUCGGGAUAAGCCUGGGAAACUGGGUCUAAUACCGGAUAGGACAAUGGUUUGGAUGCCGUUGUGGAAAGUUUUUUCGGUGUGGGAUGAGCUCGCGGCCUAUCAGCUUGUUGGUGGGGUAAUGGCCUACCAAGGCGUCGACGGGUAGCCGGCCUGAGAGGGUGUACGGCCACAUUGGGACUGAGAUACGGCCCAGACUCCUACGGGAGGCAGCAGUGGGGAAUAUUGCACAAUGGGCGCAAGCCUGAUGCAGCGACGCCGCGUAGGGGAUGACGGCCUUCGGGUUGUAAACUCCUUUCGCUAGGGACGAAGCGUAUUUGUGACGGUACCUGGAGAAGAAGCACCGGCUAACUACGUG
rnacentral:rRNA from 1 species